CCACUAUAACACACACACACACACACACAUACACACAUACACACACACAUAUAGACACACAAACCAAAAUCAAUGAGGCUCGGACGGCCAACUCUUCCAGGAAGGUAUUAACCAUCACCUAGCCAACAUGUAGUGCCUGAACCGCUGCCGGGGAAAAGAAUUAUAAAUAGAAAGAUAAAAAGUUACAGGGAUAUAUCUCGUCGAGAGCGAUGGGUUUAUAGAGCGUCGGCUGUUCCUCUAUUCAAAACAACAAAGUCGGAUGCUCGCAUUUCCGCUUGGUUUGCUUCACGGAAAAACAAGGGGGAAGGAAAAGUGGAAACGGGAGAACUUCCUGAAUUCGACCGAGACAUGUCCGACUCCCCUUUACAACUCAACAUUAAGCAGGAGAGGAGCGCAUUCAGUCCCUCUGCCAGUCCGCUGCCAAAUUCCACUUCCUCUCCAGGCCAUGGCGCUCCGCCUCUGACUAAUGCCAAGACAGAGGAAGAGCCGGCCAGACUGCCUGGACACCUGCGUCUGCAGCCCGUGUUCUGGAGCAGAGAGGAUGUAGUUCAGUGGCUGCGCUGGGCCGAGCGAGAGUUCGCUCUCCGACCCAUCUCCAGCGGAAGUUUCCAGAUGAACGGUAAAGCCCUCCUGCUGCUCACCAAGGAGGACUUCCGCUACCGUUCACCCCACUCAGGAGAUGUGCUUUACGAGCUCUUGCAACAUAUCCUGAAGCAGAGGAAGCCCCACUCAUCCUUCCCCAACAUGUAUUACCCUGGAAAUUCCUUUCACUCUCUGCCUGAAGCAGCACUGCAACACCACAAACUUGAGGAAACGGUACUAAGAACCCCACAAAACAGAGAGAGCCACCCUCUCCAGCCUCCCACCAUCGAGCUCCGUCAUCGCUCACGCUCUCCUCGCCGUUCGCCCGCCAGUGCCGCAAAUGUCCACCUUGCCUCAGCUGAGGACAUCCAGCCAGUGCCGUCCCAGCUGCCUGACAGCAACAACCACCUCCCCGAGGACCUGUAUCCACUGUCCGUGUCACCCUCAGCCCCGAACGGCCACCACGCUCAGCGUACAGCCAGCCCGUGUCAGGAGGAGGUUGCGCCUCCUCGGGUCAUCCAGCUGAUGCCCAGUGCCAUCAUGCACCCGCUGCUGCUCAGUCCCGGGCGAGGAGGCAUGCCUGGCGAGUUCAGACAAGGCCGGACCCCAGCCCAAGAGAACGGGCGUGAGGGGAAGGGCCAUCAUCAUCAUAAUCACCACCACCAUAAUCAUCACCAUGCUACUCACCAUGUACUGAGCCUGGCAGCGCAGCAGCAGUCACACCAACAGGAUGAUGUGCGCUAUAGGAACCAGAUCCUCAUGCCUGUGUCACCGCCUGAGGAGCAGGGUGUGCCUAUUGGACGCAUUGCUGAUUGCAGACUGCUGUGGGACUACGUGUAUCAGCUCCUGUCAGACAGCCGCUACGAGAAUUACAUCCGCUGGGAGGACCGCGACGCCAAAGUGUUCAGAAUCAUUGACCCCAAUGGCCUGGCUAGACUGUGGGGAAACCAUAAGAACAGGACCAACAUGACAUAUGAGAAAAUGUCAAGAGCACUAAGACACUAUUACAAGCUGAACAUCAUCAGGAAAGAGCCAGGCCAGAGGCUGCUGUUCAGCAGAAUAGUAUAUAGAUGGUGAGCAUCAGUUCUGCAGGCGGAAGCACCUUGUUGAUGGAGUUUAGAAGAGAAUGGUUGACUAGUACGAAAGGUUCAUGAAGACCCCAGACGAGAUCAUGAGUGGACAGACGGACCGCCUGGAACAUCUCGAGUCCGACACGGAUGAUCAGAUCUACAUUAAAGAGGAGUGCUGAGCGCUUUCCACACACUGAGACGAACUUUUAAAGCCAGAGAUGCCUCGCCAAUGUUCUGCUGUGUUCAGUAUCUCCCCCCCCCCUUCCCGAGCAGACCUGGACGUUGCUUAGAAUAAAAUGGGAGCCAACUUAAGGAGAUGACGUCGUUUUCUGCACUGUUUUCUACGCUGAAUCUUAAUAAUCAUAUCCUUAAUUUUCUGCUUCAGAAGAGUAAACUUCAGUAUGACAAUCAUUUAAAUGAAUGAUAAGUACUCCUUCAAAUCGCCUCUUUCAAAUUCCUGGCACAAAUGAAUGAUUUCAUACUUUUCAGUGAGGACUUUUUUUUAGUGUGUGUUGUACAAACACAAACCAGUUCGUGUACACGAGUUAUACAAGAGAUUAAUUCAAGAAUAAAUUUUAAUGAGUGAC